rnacentral:lncRNA from 1 species
AUCUCCCUCUCCUAGCUGUCGGGCAGGUUAACAUGGGAACGGGGCUUCUCUCGCCUUGGCCUCUACAUGGAUGAGACUAACUGUACUACAACCAUUGUGCGUGCUGGUUGCCCUACUGUGGGCAUGCAGAACAAAAUACUGGACAUGGGGUUCUGACUCCUACAAUGCUGUCACCGAGAGGGAAGGACAGACGAAGUGAAGGACCUGAGCCCUAGGACCAUGCCUCAGGACUACCUGGUAUGAUGACUCCUUGCUGUCCCCAGUCCACCUGGCCGUGCUGCUGCUCCAGUUUCAACUGUUCUGCCUGCGGCUAUGGAACCCUGACCUGUUCACCGGACAUGCUUGUUGCACCCUCGACAACUACUAUGAUUAUUAUUAUUUGACCAUGCUGGUCAUUUAUGAACAUUUUAACAUCUUGACCAUGUUCUGUUAUAAUAUCCACCCUGCACAGCCAGAAGAGGACUGGCCACCCCUCAUAGCCUGGUUCCUCUCUAUGUUUCUUCCUAGGUUUUUGGCCUUUCUAGGGAGUAUUUCCUAGGGAGUUUUUCCUAGCCACCGUGCUUCUUUCACAUGAAUUGCUUGCUGUUUGGGGUUUUAGGCUGGGUUU